rnacentral:rRNA from 1 species
CCUACGGGAGGCUGCAGUGAGGAAUAUUGGUCAAUGGCCGUAAGGCUGAACCAGCCAAGUAGCGUGAGGGAAGACUGCCCUAUGGGUUGUAAACCUCUUUUAUGCGGGGAUAAAGGUGUCCACGUGUGGAUGUUUGCAGGUACCUUAGGAAUAAGCCUCGGCUAACUACGUGCCAGCAGCCGCGGUAAUACGUAGGAGGCAAGCGUUAUCCGGAAUGACUGGGCGGAAAGGGUGCGUAGGUGGUUUGAUAAGUUGGUAGCGUAACUCCGAGGCUCAACCUCGGCACUACUACCAAAACUGUCGGACUUGAGUGCAGGAGAGGCAACUGGAAUUCCUAGUGUAGCGGUGGAAUGCGUAGAUAUUAGGAGGAACACCAGUGGCGAAGGCGAGUUGCUGGACUGUAACUGACACUGAGGCACGAAAGCGUGGGGAGCAAACAGGAUUAGAUACCCCUGUAGUC